rnacentral:rRNA from 1 species
UGCAGUCGUACGCUUCUUUUUCCACCGGAGCUUGCUCCACCGGAAAAAGAGGAGUGGCGAACGGGUGAGUAACACGUGGGUAACCUGCCCAUCAGAAGGGGAUAACACUUGGAAACAGGUGCUAAUACCGUAUAACAAUCGAAACCGCAUGGUUUUGAUUUGAAAGGCGCUUUCGGGUGUCGCUGAUGGAUGGACCCGCGGGCAUUAGCUAGUUGGUGAGGUAACGGCUCACCAAGGCCACGAUGCAUAGCCGACCUGAGAGGGUGAUCGGCCACAUUGGGACUGAGACACGGCCCAAACUCCUACGGGAGGCAGCAGUAGGGAAUCUUCGGCAAUGGACGAAAGUCUGACCGAGCAACGCCGCGUGAGUGAAGAAGGUUUUCGGAUCGUAAAACUCUGUUGUUAGAGAAGAACAAGGAUGAGAGUAACUGUUCAUCCCUUGACGGUAUCUAACCAGAAAGCCACGGCUAACUACGUGCCAGCAGCCGCGGUAAUACGUAGGUGGCAAGCGUUGUCCGGAUUUAUUGGGCGUAAAGCGAGCGCAGGCGGUUUCUUAAGUCUGAUGUGAAAGCCCCCGGCUCAACCGGGGAGGGUCAUUGGAAACUGGGAGACUUGAGUGCAGAAGAGGAGAGUGGAAUUCCAUGUGUAGCGGUGAAAUGCGUAGAUAUAUGGAGGAACACCAGUGGCGAAGGCGGCUCUCUGGUCUGUAACUGACGCUGAGGCUCGAAAGCGUGGGGAGCAAACAGGAUUAGAUACCCUGGUAGUCCACGCCGUAAACGAUGAGUGCUAAGUGUUGGAGGGUUUGCCGCCCUUCAGUGCUGCAGCUAACGCAUUAAGCACUCCGGGCUGGGGGAGUACGACCGCAAGGUUGAAACUCAAAAAGAAUUGACGGGGGGCCCGCACAAGCGGUUGAGCAUGUGGUUUAAUUCGAAGCAACGC